UUGGAGGGCAAGUCUGGUGCCAGCAGCCGCGGUAAUUCCAGCUCCAAUAGCGUAUAUUAAAGUUGCUGCAGUUAAAAGCUCGUAGUUGAAUUUCGGGACCAUCAUGUCGGUCGUGCCUCGGUACGUACUGGUAUUGUUGGUUUCUCCCUUCUGACGAACCAUGAUGUCAUUUAUUUGGUGUUGUGGGGAAUCAGGACUGUUACUUUGAAAAAAUUAGAGUGUUUAAAGCAGGCUCACGCUUGAAUACAUUAGCAUGGAAUAAUGAAAUAGGACGUUUGAUUCUAUUUUGUUGGUUUCUAGGAUCGACGUAAUGAUUAAUAGGGAUAGUUGGGGGCAUAGUAUUCAAUUGUCAGAGGUGAAAUUCUUGGAUUUAUUGAAGACUAACUACUGCGAAAGCAUUUGCCAAGGAUGUUUUCAUUAAUCAAGAACGAAAGUUAGGGGAUCGAAGACGAUCAGAUACCGUCGUAGUCUUAACCAUAAACUAUGCCGACUAGGGAUCGGAUGAUGUUAAUUUUUUAAUGACUCAUUCGGCGCCUUACGGGAAAC
rnacentral:rRNA from 1 species